rnacentral:rRNA from 1 species
AGAUAAUAGAUACCCCCGGGUAGUCCACGCCCUAAACUAUGAUAACUGGCUUUCCGGAGCAUCGACCCUCUGGGAGGCGAAAGCUAAACGCGUUAAGUUAUCCGCCUGGGUAGUACGGCCGCAAGGCUAAAACUCAAAGGAAUAGACGGGGGUCUUGCACAAGCGGUGGAGCGUGUGGCUUAGUUCGUCGCUAAGCGAAGAACCUUACCAGGGCUAGAAACUCCUACUGCACGCCUAUCGAAACGAUAGGAAGCCUUCGAGGGUGUAGGACAGGUGAUGCAUGGCUGUCGUCAGUUCGUGGUUU